GGGCUUCGAGUGGAUGAUCUGAAGAGAUCGGACAACCUGUAAGGCUGCUCAACAUCAGCAAGAGCUUCAUACCAUGCCUACCAGCAGUGGAGAUCAUCGAUCUGCAAAAAGGUGAUGAGUUCUGAACUCAACUAAUAUGAUCUAAAGGUUAAAUCGAAUUCAAGGCAUCGAUGUGAUCGAUGCAGUUUUCUAUUUUAUAUCAUAUUUUAUAUAUAA
rnacentral:lncRNA from 1 species